UACGUAGGGCGCAAGCGUUGUCCGGAAUUAUUGGGCGUAAAGAGCUCGUAGGCGGCUUGUCACGUCGAUUGUGAAAGCCCGAGGCUUAACCUCGGGUCUGCAGUCGAUACGGGCUAGCUAGAGUGUGGUAGGGGAGAUCGGAAUUCCUGGUGUAGCGGUGAAAUGCGCAGAUAUCAGGAGGAACGACCGGUGGCGAAGGCGGAUCUCUGGGCCAUUACUGACGCUGAGGAGCGAAAGCGUGGGGAGCGAACAGG
rnacentral:rRNA from 1 species